rnacentral:rRNA from 1 species
UACGUAGGGUGCAAGCGUUGUCCGGAAUUAUUGGGCGUAAAGAGCUCGUAGGCGGUCUGUCGCGCCUGCUGUGAAAAUCCAGGGCUCAACCCUGGACCUGCAGUGGGUACGGGCAGACUAGAGUGCGGUAGGGGAGAUCGGAAUUCCAGGUGUAGCGGUGAAAUGCGUAGAUAUCUGGAGGAACACCGGUGGCGAAGGCGGCAUCCUGGACCACGACUGACGCUGAGGAGCGAAAGCCAGGGGAGCAAACGGG